rnacentral:lncRNA from 1 species
AGGGGCUGGGGCGGGAGGAGACCUGUGCCUACCAUCAGCUGGAAGAUCCAAGGAGCUUGUUUACCUGCUUCCUUCCUCUCUUUGCUCCUUCUUUAAAGCCCCAGGCCCAAAGCAAUGUGCUUCUGCUCGACACGAUGCUCAGGAUUUGCUGAUCUGAUGGUGCUGGAGCUGAUGUGGAACUGUGGGAUCCUGGUGGUUCUGCUUCUCUCAAAAGAAUGUGUUGUUCGGGGUCAGAUUUCCUCGAGGAGUGACAAAAUGCAGAAACUUGCAUGUUCUUUCAGAACUUUGUGCUAAAAGGAGUGGCACACGUGCAUGGAUGGCUCCCACGAGGAUUGCUGUGCCCUUUUGCUGUGCCACAGCCUGCCUUUGUAGAGGCCAGGUCUCACAGGCUCCUUUCAUAUUUCAUAUUUACACAUCUGGCCACGCGGGACAAAGCACAGGGGCUGCUGCAGGUGUAUACCUGAUGUGGGGAUGUGGAUCUGCUCCAGGAUCAGCUGCUCUGGGGGACCUGGCACCUCCUCUGCUCGAGUGUCACACAGGUGACCUCUGGUCCCUCCAGCGGAGCUGCUCUGUGACCUCUCCGAUCCUUCCCACCAGAGCACAGCUCUGCAGGGGCUCUGGGCUCAGCCACAGGGCUCCCAGGGGCCAGGGACAGUGA